GACGAACGCUGGCGGCGUGCUUAACACAUGCAAGUCGAGCGGUAAGGCCCUUUCGGGGGUACACGAGCGGCGAACGGGUGAGUAACACGUGGGUGACCUGCCCUCAGCUCUGGGAUAAGCCUGGGAAACCGGGUCUAAUACUGGAUAUGACUCCAUGACGCAUGUUGUGGGGUGGAAAGCCUUGUGCGGCUGAGGAUGGGCCCGCGGCCUAUCAGCUUGUUGGUGGGGNGAUGGCCUACCAAGGCGACGACGGGUAGCCGGCCUGAGAGGGCGACCGGCCACACUGGGACUGAGACACGGCCCAGACUCCUACGGGAGGCAGCAGUGGGGAAUCUCGCGCAAUGGGCGAAAGCCUGACGCAGCGACGCCGCGUGAGGGAUGACGGCCU
rnacentral:rRNA from 1 species